rnacentral:rRNA from 1 species
AGGGUGCAAGCGUUGUCCGGAAUUAUUGGGCGUAAAGAGCUUGUAGGCGGUUUGUCGCGUCUGCUGUGAAAUUUCGGGGCUCAACCCCGAACUUGCAGUGGGUACGGGCAGACUAGAGUGUGGUAGGGGAGACUGGAAUUCCUGGUGUAGCGGUGAAAUGCGCAGAUAUCAGGAGGAACACCGAUGGCGAAGGCAGGUCUCUGGGCCAUAACUGACGCUGAGAAGCGAAAGCAUGGGGAGCGAACAGG